GUGCUCGCUUCAGCAGCACAUAUACUAAAACUGGAACGAUACAGAGAAGAUUAGCAUGGCCCCUGCACAAGGAAACCACUUGAGCAGAAACCUUGGAACAUGCU
ensembl:snRNA U6 U6 spliceosomal RNA